AAAAUACCCAAUUUUUUUCGUACGAUCUCCGAAGUUAAGCAACGCCGAGACUGGUCUGUACCUAGAUGAGUGACCGCUUGGGAAUACCAAGUGAUGUA